rnacentral:rRNA from 1 species
GAAAUGCGAUAAGUAAUGUGAAUUGCAGAAUUCAGUGAAUCAUCGAAUCUUUGAACGCACCUUGCGCUCCUUGGUAUUCCGAGGAGCAUGCCUGUUUGAGUCUCAUGGAAUUCUCAACCUUCAGCUUUAUUGAUGAAGGCUUGGACUUGGAGGUCGUGCCGGCUCUCGUAGUCGGCUCCUCUGAAAUGCAUUAGUGCGAACGUUACCAGCCGCUUCAGCGUGAUAAUUAUCUGCGUUGCUGUGGAGGGUAUUCUAGUGUUCACGCUUCUAACCGUCUUCGGACAAAUUUCUGAACUCUGAGCUCAAAUCAGGUAGGACUACCCGCUGAACUUAA